GGUAUGUGGCUUAGUGGUAGAGUGCUUGCCUAGCAUGCAUGAAGUUCUGGGUUCAAUUCCUCAGUACCA
rnacentral:tRNA from 1 species